GAUCAUGGCUCAGGACGAACGCUGGCGGCGUGCCUAAUACAUGCAAGUAGAACGCUGAAGGAAGGAGCUUGCUCUUUCCGGAUGAGUUGCGAACGGGUGAGUAACGCGUAGGUAACCUGCCUGGUAGUGGGGGAUAACUAUUGGAAACGAUAGCUAAUACCGCAUAACAGUAGAUAUCGCAUGAUAGCUGCUUGAAAGGUGCAAUUGCACCACUGCCAGAUGG
rnacentral:rRNA from 1 species